UACGUAGGUCCCGAGCGUUGUCCGGAUUUAUUGGGCGUAAAGCGAGCGCAGGUGGUUUAUUAAGUCUGGUGUAAAAGGCAGUGGCUCAACCAUUGUAUGCAUUGGAAACUGGUAGACUUGAGUGCAGGAGAGGAGAGUGGAAUUCCAUGUGUAGCGAUGAAAUGCGUAGAUAUAUGGAGGAACACCGGUGGCGAAAGCGGCUCUCUGGUCUGUAACUGACGCUGAGGUUCGAAAGCGUGGGUAGCAAACAGG
rnacentral:rRNA from 1 species